UUCUUCAUUCAUAUGAUCUCUCACUAUCUCUUUUCUCUUUUGUUCUCUCUCUCUCUCUCUCAGAUGCCAAGAAAUAAGAGAAAUCCCAGGCGAAGAAAGAAAAUGAGUCUGAAAGACUUUAUUGUUGCUGAUCUACGCACAAGUUGAUCACAUGUUGGUAUUGGGGGACUAGGAAAAAGGUUGUGUGUCACUUACUCACUUGGGGUUCUAGAUUUGUCGAUGUAAACCGUACGAAUUUAGAGGGUAAAACAGCAUGGGACAUCUCACAAGGACAAACACAAGUAAACUUUUGGAGUGCAUCGACGAGCUACCAUUUAUUAAUACCCUUUUACACAUAGCUGCAUCUUAUGGGAACAUCCAAUUUGCCCUAGAGUUGAUGAGUUUAAAGCCUUCAUUUGCUCGGAAACUAGAUCCAAACGGGUUUAGUCCCAUUCACCUUGCUCUACAAAAUGGGCAUAUUGAGUUGGUGCGUCGGCUUCUACAACUUGAUGGGGACCUUGUACGUGUCAAAG